rfam:Candidatus Rokubacteria bacterium 13_1_20CM_2_70_7 13_1_20cm_2_scaffold_14587, whole genome shotgun sequence.
GGCGAACGUUGAAGCGAUGAUCUGACAGCCUCACCUGGUCACCAGGGCUGUCGGCGAGCGAAAUGGUGAAACCGGCAACGUGAGCG